rnacentral:rRNA from 1 species
AUUGAACGCUGGCGGCAGGCCUAACACAUGCAAGUCGAACGGUAACAGGAAGAAGCUUGCUUCUUUGCUGACGAGUGGCGGACGGGUGAGUAAUGUCUGGGAAACUGCCUGAUGGAGGGGGAUAACUACUGGAAACGGUAGCUAAUACCGCAUAACGUCGCAAGACCAAAGAGGGGGACCUUCGGGCCUCUUGCCAUCGGAUGUGCCCAGAUGGGAUUAGGUGGUUGGUGGGGUAACGGCUCACCAAGGCGACGAUCCCUAGCUGGUCUGGGAGGAUGACCAGACACACUGGAGCUGAGACACGGUCCAGACUCCUACGGGAGGCAGCAGUGGGGGAUAUUGCACAAUGGGCGCAAGCCUGAUGCAGCCAUGCCGCGUGUAUGAAGAAGGCCUUCGGGCUGUAAAGUACUUUCAGCGGGGAGGAAGGGAGUAAAGUUAAUACCGUUGCUCAUUGACGUUACCCGCAGAAGAAGCACCGGCUAACUCCGUGCCAGCCGCCGCGGUAA